GACGAACGCUGGCGGCGUGCUUAACACAUGCAAGUCGAACGAUGAAGCCGGAGCUUGCUCCGGUGGAUUAGUGGCGAACGGGUGAGUAACACGUGAGCAAUCUGCCCUUGACUCUGGGAUAACUGCGGGAAACUGUAGCUAAUACCGGAUACGACACCUUGGGGCAUCCCAGGGUGUGGAAAGAAUUUCGGUCAAGAAAAAGCUCGCGGCCUAUCAGCUAGUUGGUGAGGUAAUGGCUCACCAAGGCGACGACGGAUAGCCGGCCUGAGAGGGUGACCGGACACACUGGAAGUGAGACACGGUACAGACUCCUACGGGAGGCAGCAGUGGGGAAUAGUACACAAUGGGCGAAAGCCUGAUGCAGCAACGGCGCGUGAGAGAUGAAGGCCUGCGGGUUGUACACCUCUUAUGUGGGAAGAUUAUGACGGUACCGCAUGAAUAAGCACCGGCUAACUACGUGCCAGCCGCCGCCGUAA
rnacentral:rRNA from 1 species